UACGUAGGGGGCAAGCGUUGUCCGGAAUCAUUGGGCGUAAAGAGCGUGUAGGCGGCCCGGUAAGUCCGCUGUGAAAGUCCAGGGCUCAACCCUGGGAUGCCGGUGGAUACUGUCGGGCUCGAGUCCGGAAGAGGAGCGUGGAAUUCCUGGUGUAGCGGUGAAAUGCGCAGAUAUCAGGAGGAACACCGGUGGCGAAGGCGGGUCUCUGGGCCGAUACUGACGCUGAGGAGCGAAAGCGUGGGGAGCGAACAGG
rnacentral:rRNA from 1 species